ACGCUCGACACCUACGGGAGGCAGCAGUGGGGAAUAUUGCACAAUGGGGGAAACCCUGAUGCAGCGACGCCGCGUGAAGGAUGAAGUAUUUCGGUAUGUAAACUUCUAUCAGCAGGGAAGAAAAUGACGGUACCUGACUAAGAAGCCCCGGCUAACUACGUGCAGCAGCCGCGGUAAUCUGAGCGGGCUGGCAAGGC
rnacentral:rRNA from 1 species